GGCCUGUUGGUGAAGUGGUUUAACACGCGCGCCUCUCAAGCUCGUAUUCACGGGUUCAAACCCCGUACAGGCUACCA
rnacentral:tRNA from 2 species